AGCCUCAGCGUUGGAGAGGUCCGCUUCGGCCGCUGAGAGACAGAGUUCAGCUUCGAGGAACGAGGAGAGAAACUCAUGGGGAGAACGAGCUUCAGCGUUGGAGAGGUCUGCUUCAGCCACUGAGAGACAAAGUUCCGCUUCUAGAAACGAGGAGAGAAACUCAUGGGGAGAAAGAGCCUCAGCAUCUGAAAGGUCCGCUUCUGAGAGACAAAGGUCUGCUUCGAGAAACGAGGAGAGAAACUCAUGGGGUGAAAGAGGU
rnacentral:lncRNA from 1 species